rnacentral:rRNA from 1 species
UACAGAGGCCCCAAGCGUUACUGAGAAUCACUGGGUUUAAAGGGUGCGUAGGUGGUCCGUUAAGUCAGUUGUGAAAUCCCCGGGCUCAACUCGGGAACUGCUUCUGAUACUGGCGGACUUGAGGCCAGUAGGGGUCACUAGAACUGACGGUGGAGCGGUGAAAUGCGUAGAUAUCGUCAGGAAUGCCGGUGGUGAAGACGGGUGACUGGGCUGGUUCUGACACUGAGGCACGAAAGCGUGGGGAGCGAACGGG